GACGAACGCUGGCGGCGUGCCUAAUACAUGCAAGUUGAGCGCUGAAGGUUGGUACUUGUACCCACUGGAUGAGCAGCGAACGGGUGAGUAACGCGUGGGGAAUCUGCCUUUGAGCGGGGGACAACAUUUGGAAACGAAUGCUAAUACCGCAUAAAAACUUUAAACACAAGUUUUAAGUUUGAAAGAUGCAAUUGCAUCACUCAAAGAUGAUCCCGCGUUGUAUUAGCUAGUUGGUGAGGUAAAGGCUCACCAAGGCGAUGAUACAUAGCCGACCUGAGAGGGUGAUCGGCCACAGUGGGACUGAGACACGGCCCAAACUCCUACGGGAGGCAGCAGUAGGGAAUCUUCGGCAAUGGACGAAAGUCUGACCGAGCAACGCCGCGUGAGUGAAGAAGGUUUUCGGAUCGUAAAACUCUGUUGGUAGAGAAGAACGUUGGUGAGAGUGGAAAGCUCAUCAAGUGACGGUAACUACCCAGAAAGGGACGGCUAACUACGUG
rnacentral:rRNA from 1 species